rfam:Ornithorhynchus anatinus chromosome 6, whole genome shotgun sequence.
GCCCUCUCAGAAUUGCAUCUGGAGAGUUUUCAGUACUCUGCCAGUCUUGGCUAUGAGAGGGAAAGUCAAGCAGAGGCAGACCCAUUCCAUUCCUAGCUUGGCCAGUGGCUAGUGAGUGGAAGGCAAUCCGUUAACAAGU